CGCUCCGGGCCUGGGUGGGGAGCGGAGCUGACCAGGGCCAGGCACUUGGUGGAAGGAAACGGCCCCAUUCCUGCCUUGUGUUCCUGCCCACCAGGUGGCUCUGUUUGGGGUCCGGGCACCUCAUUAAAUCUGAUGUUAUUCAGCAAUGCACCUUCUCACAGCCAUGCUAAUCCGGACUGCUGCUAUUUUAGGCUUCUGCGGGAGGAAGGGCGCUGGGUAUCACAACCAGCUGCUCCCUUCUAAGGAACCUGUGGGAUGCAGGAAAGCCGCUCUGGACUGAUGGGUGGAGACAAGGGAGCUUCCAGUAUGAACAGGUUUAAAAAGAUACUUUAGAGUUGUAUGGUGAUUGGAUUUUUACUAGAGGAACGAGAGAGCUCGUGGCGUUUUAGGUCAUCAGAACUCAGUUCCGUUGCCCGCAUCAGUAAGAGUUGGACGUGAGUCUUUGCAACCAUUACAGGUGUGCCUGACUGUGGUCCUCCUGCUUCUGCACCAGAUCUCACCUGGAUGAUACCAUUGGCUGGAUUGGCUCAUGAAAGCCGAAAUCAGGCCCGUGAAGGAGGCUUGGUGCUGGCAGCUUUUUCUCUGCCAUGUAGCUGACAGCUUAAAGGCCGUGGAGUUGGAGUGCGUCUGGUCGGCUUUCCCUCAGCACAGUUCCCUGCACUUGGCUUUCCCUGAAACACAGCUGCCACCGUCUGUUAAUUCGGCAUCGGUCUCUGGUGGUUCAGUGCUUGAGAGUUCAGUGUCACCCAGGAGCUGGGAGACCGUUCACCACGCCCCUCCUUGGCAGAUCGUCCCUGGAAGUUUCUUGUGAUGGAGCAAGAGGCGAUCAGGUCUCAUCGUUAUUUCUGAGAUCUGGGGAGCUGGGGCUCAGAAAAACAAAGUGAUGCCCCGGCCACCCAGCUGGGGUUGGCGUAGCUGGGGCUCCCUCGCAUCUCUCAUGCCAGCAUGAAGUGAUGCCGUCUCACUCACGGUCCCUACCCUUUGAUUCACCUCAGCUGUAGAAGAGUGAGCUCGUGGGCAUCCCACCUAGGUGUGCAAGGGCAUCCUUGUCAAAGCCAUAUUAAAAAUAGAAGUGAACUCUCGCUGCAGCCUCUCAUUUGUUCACAUAUCUAUGUACCCUUUCUAAGAAAUUACUCAGGUCGGACUCUGUCUUUCAUAAAGCACGUGGCCUUAACCUUGACAGUACAUUUGUUCACAUUAGCCCUUGUGUAGUUUCUGCCUGGGCAGCUGUGGCCCUCUCCUUGGCGGUUGCACACUAGGAACAUUUGGUGCCCAUUGAUUAGAAAGUUGACCCUGGUGCCCCCCAAGCUAUCACAGGAGAAGCUGGGGACCCAGGAGGUCCCUAACUGCUUCUCCUCCCCCUUGUCUCUGUACUUGUUGGGUUUUGAGUGCCCAGGCAUACGGUCUUCAGACACGGGUGUCCUGUGUGCUGUGCUAAUCUGCAGGGCAGAGAGAUGUCCUGACCUGGAAGCCUGAGGGAGCAGAGCUGGGGGCACACGGCUCCUACAGACGCUCCAGAGGGAGGGCAGGCUAGCCGGUCACCGCUCAGCCCCUGCCUGAACGCCCAUGUUGACAUGGUGCUGAGCACGUUCCUGCCUGCUUUCUGUCGCUCCUACAGAACGUCCUGACUUGGUAGCUACUGCCUUCAGCUGUGCUUUGUGAAGGUCUCGGCUCAGGGAGCUCCGUAGCACACAACUGCUCUGAAGUCCAUCCCCUGACCACCCUGCCAAGCAUGCUCCAGCUUGCUUUGCCCUUCCUUUAGAGCUGCCCAAGGCUCUUCAUUUCUCUGUUCUCAUUGAGCUUUUAUCACAAGCCCAGCAGAAGCCGAACUCUGUUUUAUUGCACGUGGCCUCCAUGUUUGGGCUUGGAUUGGUAAUCUGGAGGCAGAGCCAUUCACCCUCCCACUGUCAUUCCCAGGCCUCCAAGGCUGUAGCAGACGCAGGCUGGCUUAAAAGACUCCGUUCUGAAUUCUCCCUCUCCCCUAAAGGCGUGCUUGUGUCUCUCAGAGAUCUUUCACCCCAGCCCAGGUCCAGAGACUUGUUGGGGUCUCCAGUGGUCCUGGGGAGGGGGAGCGCCACACCCUACCUGCUGCUCCAGUGUGGCCGGUGAAUGACAGUGCCACCGGCGAAUGACAGUGCCACCAGCGAAUGACAGUGCCACCAACAGCCUCAGGAAGCAUAUUUGGAGAAUGAGGAAGUGCUGGAUUUGAAGUCAGGUGACUCAUGCUUGUCAGUAGCCUCUGGAAGAUCAAGGGCCUUCCAGGGAGGGCCUGUGUGCCUGCAGGGUGGUGACAGGUGCAGCUGGCACUUCCAGGGCCUGCAAGGCCUGUCUCCAGAUUAAGACCAUUGGUAUCUGCGGGAUUACGGAGCUGGCACCAGAUGGCCCUGUUGGUGGCCUGUGUCGGAGGCCUGUCUGAAAGCUGGAGUCACAGUGGGAGGGCCGUGCAGGUGGGAUGGAUACACAGAGAAGGCCUGGGGCAGUGGGGGAGCUCCUCUAACAGGGAUCCCAGCAAGGAGGCAAGGAGAUGGGACAGAAGCAGGAAGCUGGUCAGGAGCCACAUCUGCCUUCCUGCCGCAGCCUAUGUGGGUCAGGCAUGAGUUAGAGCAAGGGACAGGUAGACAGGAAGAGCCAGGGCCUUCAAAACAAACCCAGCCGGUGACUCACCAGUGACCUUGGGCAAAGUCAGUUCCAUGGGAUCCUAUUACACAGUAGCUGCCUUCUUCCCUGAUGACUGGAGGGGACCGGCAAGCCAUGUGCACCAAAAUAAACAGGCCGGAGCACAACUGGAGGAGAGGGUGUGCCGUGCGUCUUGCCCAAGUGUUGUCCCCUGAACCACCAGGUCAAAUUUACAGACCCAGCCCUGUGUACCAUUUCUGUCCCACAAGUAAAGUCACCCGUGCAGCACCUCUGGGGCUUUGUUUGUCUAGCCAUGCUCUCAAGGGAGCUGGUGUUUGUGGCCUGCCCUGCUGUACUGCUGUCCGGGAAGGGAGGGGAGAAAGAUGCCGAGCUGCUGAGCCCAGGGGAGGCUCUGAGCUGCGUCCUGUACGCCCCGGGAACUGCCUGGCCUUCUUGGGUGCACAGAAAUCCUUUGAGGAAAGCCCGCCUGUUAGCGGGCAGGCUCUGGGGCAUCCAUGAGCACCCCCAGAGGGAAUUUCCUGUUUGCUUUCCCUACUGAACCGGAGGGUUUGUUUAAGUCACAGCUUUGGAACAGAGGAAAGCAGUUUAACGUUGAAACAAAAUGUGUUGGAGUUUUGGGUCAAAAGUCGCUUUUCGGUACCCCAUUUUCAGUCUGGUGGGCAGCCCCUGAGUCUGGCUUUGUGGGCCCCUUGUCUGGCCCACACUGAUUGAUGUGUGUCGUUGAAGUUUUGGGGCAGCAAGUAGAGGCACACCAGUGGCCGGGGCAGUCCCAGUACAGGGGGCUGCUGUGUCACAGCAUCGCGUCAGCUGACCCUCCCAGAAAGUGACCUGCUCAAGGUAACACAUAGCCUGUGGCCAGCCGAGGACUUGGCUCCAGGUCCAGAGCUCUGCUGGUGUCCUGAGCAUGUUCCGGAGCUGGACUGGAGGGCCUGAGUGCUGCCCAGGCUUCAACACCACCCCAAUAGGUUUCGUCCAGUAAUUGCCCAUGUGGACAUUCUUUGUUGCACAGUGGCCCAGACCUUUCUUGCCUUUUGUGUGUGUGUGUGUGUGUGUGUGUGUGAGAUUUCAUAGCCCACACGGUUCCUUUUGUAAGCUCAGCAGCUGCUGGCCUUGCGGGUUGCGGCUGCCUCUGACGGUAUCAGCUUCUGGCUGUUCAAACACAGCUCUUGAGGACUUGAUUGGUUCUCUCCAUCAGGGAAAAAUAAAGUGGCUGGCUCAGGGGCUGGGUGAUUCGGAGCUGCUCAGUACAGGGGAGCCCUCACUGACAUUUGGAGUCUAACUCUGUGUGACCUUGACAAAGUCAAGCUAAUCUCCUAGAGUUGGCUUUCAUCUGAGCUGUGUGAUAAACCACACCCCACACCCCGCCCCGGCCAGAGUGGACAACAAGGAUUCACAGAGAGAACUUUUUUUUUUUUUUUUUUAAGAUUUAUUUGUUUAUUUGAAAGACUUACAGAAAGAGAGAUCUAUCUUCCAUCUGCUGGUUCACUCCCCAAAUGGCCACAACAGUCAGGAGCCUAGAAUUCCAUUUGUGUCUCCCACAAGGGUGCAAAGGCCCAAGCACUUGGGCCAUGAUCCACUGCUUUUCCAGGCCAUUAACAGGGAGCUGGAUUGUAAUCGGAGCAGCCAGGACUUGAACCAGUGCCUAUAUGGGAUGUCAGUGUUGCAGGCAGCAGCUUAACCCACUAUGCCACAAUGCAGGCUCCAGGAACAUUUUUUAAAAAUAGCAUUUGUUAAAAGAUUUAUCUAUUUAUUUGAAGGGCAAAAUGACGCAGAGAGAGGGAGAACAGAUUUUCCAUCCGCUGGUUCACUGCACAGAUGCCCACAACAGCCAGGGAUAGGACAGGCUGAAGUCAGGAGCCAGGAACUCUAUCCAGGUCUCCUACGUGGGUGGCAGGAACCCGAGUGUUUGGGCAUCAUCUGCUGCCUCCCAGGCACCUUAGUGGGAAGGUGCAUUGCAGAUGUGGAGUAGCAGGACUUGAACCAGGCAUUCUUCCUUGGGAUGUGGUCGUCCUAAGCAUAACCACUGCAUCACAACAUCCACCCCAAACUUUUUUUUUUUUUUUUUUUUUUUUUGACAGGCAGAGUGGACAGUGAGAGAGAGAGACAGAGAGAAAGGUCUUCCUUUGCCGUUGGUUCACCCUCCAAUGGCCGCCACGGCCGGCGCGCUGCGGCCGGCGCACCGCGCUGAUCCGAUGGCAGGAGCCAGGAGCCAGGUGCUUUUCCUGGUCUCCCAUGGGGUGCAGGGCCCAAGCACCUGGGCCAUCCUCCACUGCACUCCCUGGCCACAGCAGAGAGCUGGCCUGGAAGAGGGGCAACCGGGACAGAAUCCGGAGCCCCGACCGGGACUAGAACCCGGUGUGCUGGCACCGCUAGGCAGAGGAUUAGCCUAGGGAGUCGCGGCGCCGGCCACCCCAAACUUUUGAUUGAUCUGUGUGUGCAAAGUAGCUCCAGCAGUGUUUGUUCUGGGGUCGGUCAGAGGACACCUGGAAGGAGAGGGACGUCACCUGUGAAGCUUUGUACCGUGUAUCUGUCCUCCACUGGAAUAAGUGUGUUACUGGCCAGCAUUGUGGAGAGACGGGCUAAGCUGCUGCUUGCAGUGCUGGCCUCCCAUAUUGGAGCGCCAGUUUCAGUCCUGGCUGCUUUGCUUCAGAUCCAGCUUCCUGCUGACGCGCCUGGGAAGACAGCAGACGAUGGCCCAAGUGCUUGGGCCCCUGCCACCCAGAUGCGAGUCCAGGAUGCUCCUGGCUCCUGACUUCUACCAGGCCCAGAGCUGGCUGUUGUGGCCUUUUUGGGGUUUGAAGCAGUGGAUGGAAGUUUCUCGCCCUCCCUCCCUCCUGCUCUCCUUCUCUCUCUCUCAGUCUUUCCCACUCUCUCUGUCACUCUGAGGGUGGGAAAUAAUAAAUUAAUAAAUAAAUCUUUAAUAAAAAUAAAAUAAGUGGCACAGUGUAUAUCGUAAGUGUACAUUUUUAAGGACAACAAAGACUUCCUGUGCUCACCACCUAGCAGAAGAAUCCAAGUACAGGCCUUCUGAAGUCCCACAUGUCCCCAUCCUCAGAGUGCCAGGGGGCAUUAAGUAAGGCAAAUGCCAUCCCAGCCAGCCGCAGAGCAGCGGGUGACGCGAGCCCGUGCAGCCUGCCUCUGGCCGGUCAUGCUCAGAGGCACUGAGUGGGCACUUUGGUUCUGUUGGUACCUGCCACGUGCCACUUGGGCCCCAGGAAGAACUAUCGCAGGGAGUUUUUAACAAUGUUCCAAGUAAAGGCAGGGGUUAGUCCUGUCUCCUAGAGCUUUUCUUCCAGUGAGGACCUGUGGGUGUCUGGACUGUGCAGGCCCAUAGCACUGAGGCUGUGUGGGGUUAGAUUAAACAAAGGCUGGUGCUGGCGCUGGCGCUGGCGCUGGCGGGGCUCCCGCACAGGCAAGCUUCCUGACAGUAGGCAGUUGCUCAGCCUGGAUGCCUGGUCCCAAAACAGAUGGUCCGUAGACAAGAAUGGGGGACCUGGUGCCAGACACAAGCAUGAGGACCUUGUUUGAGCCCAGGCAGCAUCUGCUGAUGGAUUUAACCCUGAGGCAGGCUCCACAUGCAUGGUCACACAGGUCCAGGGGCUCCUCCUACGCAGGACACCCUGGUGUUGAGUUUGCUUGCUUAGGUUUAGGUCCUCUGCCCAGGUUCUUGAACUUUACAUCAGUUCAUCUUUGGAGUCUGGGAUCAGUGGGGUUUUUUGUUUUGUUUUGUUUGCUGUAUAAGGCUGGGACCACCUGCAGGGGAUUACCUGGACUGCAUUUUGAACUCUAGAUUCCAAGGCCCUGCUCCAGACCUACAGUCGGACUGUCUGGGGAUCAGGGAACAUGUUUUCAGCUGUCACCCCCAUAAUUCAGAUGUGCACUAAACUCCUCAUCACUGCUCCAACUCUUAGCCCAAGGUCAGGAUUUGGGAAAGAAACCUGUAGUCCGAAUCUUGCCAGCCCUUUCCCGAGUUUCCUAAAUCACUUGAUGACCCACGGGCCUGAGGAGAGGAGAGCUUGUCACAGGUUGGAAGACAGGAGGGAACAAAAUGAAGGCCCAUUUCCUACUUUCAUUAAGGCUUGAAAUACUUAAUCCUGGCCCGCUUUCUUCCUGGAUCACCCUUUAUUGUAGACUUCCGGGAGCUGUAGCAGUUUGCAUAAGCAUCAAAGGAGACCAACAGUGUGUUUUGUUGAAAUUAAAAAAAAACGGGGGGCCGGCGCUGUGGCACACCAGCUUAACACCCUGGCCUGAAGUGCCAGCAUCCCAUAUUGGCGCUGGUUCGAUUCCUGGCUGCUCCUCUUCCGAUCCAGCUCUCUGCUAUGGCCUGAGAAAUCAGUGGAAGAUGGCCCAAGUCCUUGGGCCCCGCACCCAUAUGGGAGACCCGGAAAAAGCUCCUGGCUCCUGGCUUCGGAUCAGCGCAGCUCCGGCCGUUGCGGCCAUCUGGGGAGUGAACCAUCGGAUGGAAGACCUCUCUCUCUCUCUCUCUCUCUCUCUCUCUCUCUCUCUCUCUCUGUCUCUCUGUCUCUCUGUCUCUACCUCUCUCUGUAACUUUGCCUUUCAAAUAAAUCUUUAAAAAAUUUUUUUAAAAAAUUGGGGCUGGUGUGGUGGUACAGUAGUUACUCCUCCGUCUGUGGCACCGGCAUCCCAUAUGGCGCCGGUUCUAGUCCUGGUUGGUUGCUCCUCUUCCAAUCCAGCUCUCUUCUGUGGCCCGGGAAGGCAGUGGAAGAUGGCCGAAGUCCUUGGGCCCCUGCACCCACAUGGGAGACUGGAAGAAGUUCCUGGCUCCUAGCUUUUCGGAUCAGCUCAGCUUUGGCUGUUGCGGCCAUUUGGGGAGUGAACCAACAGACAGAAGACCUUUUUCUCUGUCUCUCCCUCUUACUGUCUAUAACUCUAUCUCUCAAAUAAAUAAAUAAAAUCUUUAAAAAAAAAUCAGGGCUGGUGCUGUGGCAUAGUAGGUUAAGUCUCUGCCUGCUGUGCCAGCAUCCCAUGUGGGUGCCAUGUUCAAUCUCAGCUGCUUCACUUCUGAUCCAGCUCUCUGCUGUGGCCUGGGAAGGCAGUAGAGGAGGCCCAAGUCCUUGGGCUCCUAUACCCACAUGGGAGAGCCGAAAGAAGCUCCUGGCUGCUGGCUUUAGAUUGGCCUGGCUCCAGCCAUUGCAGCCAUCUGGGGAGUGAACCAGCAGAUAGAGGAUCUCUCAGCCUCUCUCUCUCCUUUUCUCUCUGUAACUGUACCUUUCGGAAAAAAAAAUUUUAAAAGAUGCUGUUGAAGUCCUGGAAAGGCACGGAGGUUGCCCCGUGUGAACGGUGUGUGUGUGCCAUCCUGGGGCUCUCCCUUCACCUCAGCCUUGGGGUGCCUUGAAUGGCGUGUCUUCUGCUUCUGGGUUUCCUUCCUGGUUUUGGUGGAGUGAGCACCCCCGGUGCUGUCAGUUCCUGAGCCUUCUGGAGCUUUAUGGUACAAGCGUAGCUGAUGCUUUGCUUUUCCCCUGCUGGCUUUUUUCCUCACCUCUAUCAAGUCUAGGUCUGUUCUUUCCAGUUUUCAGAAUUUUGUUUUGUACCUCUUUUUCCUUUCAUAUGGUUUUAUGCCUUUUUGUAAUGUUUUCUUGGGGUCAGUGUUGUGGCACAGUGGUUCUCUACCCCCACCCUGUCAGUCUGCCUUUCAAAUAAAUAAAAUAAUCCUUUUAAAAAAAAAUUUAUUUAUUUACUUGAAAGGCAGAGUUAGCCAGCACCGCGGCUCAAUAGGCUAAUCCUCCACCUAGCGGCGUUCUAGUCCCGGUCGGGGCGCCAGAUUCUUUCCCGGUUGCCCCUCUUCCAGGCCAGCUCUCUGCUGUGGCCCGGGAAGGCAGUGAAGGAUGGCCCAGGUGCUUGGGCCCUGCACCCCAUGGGAGACCAGGAGAAGCACCUGGCUCCUGCCUUCGGAUCAGCGUGGUACGCCAGCCAUAGUGUGCCAGCCGUGGCGGCCAUUGGAGGGUGAACCAACGGCAAAAGGAAGACCUUUCUCUCUGUCUCUCUCUCUCACUAUCCACUCUGCCUGUCAAAAAAAAAAAAAAAAAAAAAAAAAAAAAAAAAAGGCGGAG